rnacentral:rRNA from 1 species
UACGGGGGGGGCAAGCGUUGUUCGGAAUUACUGGGCGUAAAGGGCUCGUAGGCGGCCAACUAAGUCAGACGUGAAAUCCCUCGGCUUAACCGGGGAACUGCGUCUGAUACUGGAUGGCUUGAGUUUGGGAGAGGGAUGCGGAAUUCCAGGUGUAGCGGUGAAAUGCGUAGAUAUCUGGAGGAAAACCGGUGGCGAAGGCGGCAUCCUGGGCCAACACUGACGCUGAGUGAGCGAAAGCCAGGGGAGCAAACGGG